rnacentral:rRNA from 1 species
GCGGCAGGCCUAACACAUGCAAGUCGAACGCGAAAGGGACUUCGGUCCUUAGUAGAGUGGCGCACGGGUGAGUAACGCGUGGGAACGUACCCUGGAGUGGGGAAUAACCAUUGGCAACGAUGGUUAAUCCCGCAUAAUGUCUUCGGACCAAAGAUUUGUCGCUCUUGGAUCGGCCCGCGUUAGAUUAGUUUUCUGGUGGGGUAAAGGCCUACCAAGACUACGAUCUAUAGCUGGUUGGAGAGGACGACCAGCCACACUGGGACUGAGACACGGCCCAGACUCCUACGGGAGGCAGCAGUGGGGAAUAUUGGACAAUGGGCGCAAGCCUGAUCCAGCCAUGCCGCGUGAGUGAUGAAGGCCUUAGGGUUGUAAAGCUCUUUCAACGGUGAAGAUGACGACGGUAACCGUAGAAGAAGCCCCGGCUAACUUCGUGCCAGCCGCCGCAGUAA